rnacentral:rRNA from 1 species
CCUACGGGUGGCAGCAGUGAGGAAUCUUGGUCAAUGGACGGAAGUCUGAACCAGCCAAGUAGCGUGCAGGAUGACGGCCCUAUGGGUUGUAAACUGCUUUUAUGUGGGAAUAAAGUGGCGCACGCGUGCGCCAUUGCAUGUACCUCAUGAAUAAGGACCGGCUAAUUCCGUGCCAGCAGCCGCGGUAAUACGGAAGGUCCGGGCGUUAUCCGGAUUUAUUGGGUUUAAAGGGAGUGUAGGCGGUCUGUUAAGCGUGUUGUGAAAUUUAGGUGCUCAACAUUUAACUUGCAGCGCGAACUGGCAGACUUGAGUACACGCAGCGCAGGCGGAAUUCAUGGUGUAGCGGUGAAAUGCUUAGAUAUCAUGAGGAACUCCGAUCGCGAAGGCAGCCUGCGGGAGUGUUACUGACGCUUAAGCUCGAAGGUGCGGGUAUCGAACAGGAUUAGAUACCCCAGUAGUC